rnacentral:lncRNA from 1 species
CUGUAUGCCAUACCAGUGUCUUCAUACUCCUUGGUUAAGAGGACAACCAACCCAUAUGGCCUACAGCGAUCUAUGCUCGAUAGAAGCUGUCGUCCUUAUUAACAGCCUAUCAUUUGGUCGUGAACAGUUUUAAGGACUAAUCGAUAAAUUCUCUCUUUAUCGAACCUAAAUAGUCCUAAGGACUUCAUCAUAACAACGGAGUUCAUUAGAAGAUGAAAGCUU